CUUGUAAGUGCAAAAUAUGAGGUUGAGCAAACUUAGAAAAGAUGCAAGCAGAUACAAUCGAAUGAACGUGUUAAUUUUACUAUCAACGGAAAAGAAAAAGCACCCCAUUCCUCUGUUGCUAAUAGGGCGUCUAUAAGGAGUAAGAAAUUUACCUGCACAGAUUGUUCAUUUCCGACGACAGAUUUGAGAAUAUUUCUGAAUCACAUAUUUGUGAUACAUAAAUACCGCUGGUACAAAUGUCCAAUCUGCCGUGUUUGCACGACAUCUCCAAAUGCAAGCAUGGAGCAUUUUCGAAAAAAUCCUGA